GACGAACGCUGGCGGCGUGCUUAACACAUGCAAGUCGAACGGAAAGGCCCUGCUUGCAGGGUACUCGAGUGGCGAACGGGUGAGUAACACGUGGGUGAUCUGCCCUGCACUUCGGGAUAAGCCUGGGAAAGUGGGUCUAAUACCGGAUAGGAGCAAUUUUUAGUGUGAUGGUUGGAAAGUUUUUUCGGUGUAGGAUGAGCUCGCGGCCUAUCAGCUUGUUGGUGGGGUAAUGGCCUACCAAGGCGGCGACGGGUAGCCGGCCUGAGAGGGUGGACGGCCACAUUGGGUCGGAGAGACGGCCCAGACUCCUACGGGAGGCAGCAGGGGGGAAGAUUGCACAAUGGGCGCAAGCCUGAUGCAGCGACUCCGCGUGGGGGAUGACGGCCUUCGGGUUGAAAACUCCUUUCGCUAGGGACGAAGCAUUUUGUGACGGUACCUAGAUAAGAAGCACCGGCUAACUACGUG
rnacentral:rRNA from 1 species